GAGUUUGAUCCUGGCUCAGGACGAACGCUGGCGGCGUGCCUAACACAUGCAAGUCGAACGGAGUUGAAAGGAGCUUGCUUUUUUCAACUCAGUGGCGGACGGGUGAGUAAUGCGUGAGUAACCUGCCUUUCAGAGGGGGAUAACGUUCUGAAAAGAACGCUAAUACCGCAUAAGAUUGUAGUUUCGCAUGGAGCAGCAAUCAAAGGAGCAAUCCGCUGAAAGAUGGACUCGCGUCCGAUUAGAUAGUUGGCGGGGUAACGGCCCACCAAGUCGACGAUCGGUAGCCGGACUGAGAGGUUGAUCGGCCACAUUGGGACUGAGACACGGCCCAGACUCCUACGGGAGGCAGCAGUGAGGGAUAUUGGGCAAUGGGGGAAACCCUGACCCAGCAACGCCGCGUGAGGGAUGACGGUUUUCGGAUUGUAAACUCCUGUCGUUAGGGACGAUAAUGACGGUACCUAACAAGAAAGCACCGGCUAACUACGUGCCAGCAGCCGCGGUAAUUC
rnacentral:rRNA from 1 species